UUUGAUGACAAAAUACACAAAAUACAUGUUAAAAUUUAACCACACUCCAUCACUUUAUUUGCUUAUCUUUAGCCUGACAAAGCAUUAUACUUUGGUGCGUGGAAAAUCUUAUAAGGAUAACAACAGAGGAGACAAAAUUUGAUGACUUAACUAAUUUGUGCUUGUUAGGAUUAUCGACCCAACACCAACAAACAAUCGUAAAACAGUAAAAAAUAAAGCAAGAACAGAAAAUCGAACACAGAAAUUUUCACCCAGUUCAGCCAAAAAUGGCCUAAUCUGGGGGGCUCAGAGGUAAGCCCGUCACUAGCAAGAAACCUUCAAGAGAGUGUACAACCAGUUGAAGAAACCACAUCAUACCCACUAUAUGAUCAUCGAUCCACAAGGAUCUCUCAAUAACUUGAAAACCUAGCCCACAAGACUAGACAAAACCUUCCCAAGAACACACUACGGAUUUACCAGCCACAAUCAAGGCCUAAAACUCUGUACCAUAGUUCUAUCAUCAUCAGAUAACAACAAGAUUAUAACAAUAAUCUUAACUGGUUCUUCAAUUCAAAAGAGAAAAGAAGAAGCAGAAACAUGAAGGAACUCGAGAGAGAGAGAGAGAAACUUGAAGGGACAAUUUCUGCCAAAUGAAAAGAAAGUGCCGGCUGACUUCUUCUCACCAACCCUUAAAGUCUCCCUUUGCAUUAAUUAUAUGAGACUAAAUCUCAACCAUAGAUGUGGAUCAAUGGUCCAUAAAUGAUAAGAGAAAAACCACAACUCUAGUGACAUUAUUUUAUCCAAUAACCGAAUGCCAUCUGUCCAUGGAGUAUAAAGAGUAGAAAACGUUUUUUCACUUAUGGAUGUGCUGUUUGAGAAUCACGACUUCACAAAUCUUCACCUUGGUUCUCAAACCGCGCACUUCCUCUCUUGUUGCUAUAAUGCUAGUGACAGAACCGUACCCUACAUCAUCGCCCAAGUACCUGCACCAAAAAAAAAACAAAAAUCAACCUGUAUCAAUAUUAAGCAAUGAUAAACAAGAUCUAAAUUUAUUGACAGUCAGUAUUUUAGUCCCCAUAUCAGCAGGAUUAAAAUCAGUAUGAAUUUUCUCAAGAGCCAUUUCACCAGAUGAGAGUUUUUCUUUUAUGAAAUGAUACUUCACCUCAAUGUGUUUUGACCUUUCAUGAUAGACAUGAUUUUUGCUUAAAAGUAAAGCACUUUGACUAUCAGUUAAUAUCACAGGUGGAGUAUUUAGAAAAUUCAGUUCAGUUAAGAUCCCUUUAAGCCACAUGCAUUCUUUUACACAUUCAGUAAUUGCCACAUAUUCAGCUUCAGUGCUAGACAAAGUUACAAUUGAUUGAAGUUGAGACUUCCACGUAAUACAAUUAUCACCAAGUGUAAAAAAGAAGGCAGUUGUAGACUUUCUUUGAUCUUUAUCUCCAGCGAAAUCGGAAUCCACAUAUCCUUUAAGAGUUAAUGGUUUCGAUCCCUUUUUGAACACCAAUCCUACAUUUAGUGUCCCAACUAUGUAUCUAAGUAGCCACUUUAACC
rnacentral:lncRNA from 1 species